GCGGAGGGCUUGGUGUGAGUUAGCACAUCCAGAAAGUCGGCAGUGGUUACUGUAUCCAACUGGAUCCCGGGUAAGUCGCUGCUUUCUAGGAUAAGAGCACAACAGUCACAGCACAACAAUCGACCUCUUGGUGAUCAAUGCCCUUGAAACGCUAAUAGACCUUCUUUCAAAAUAAUGCAUAAUGCAGCAUUCGUAAUUGUUAAUGCAGCAAAAGGCAAGACUAAAGAGGGCUGGGGAAAAAUUAUUUAAUAUGCAACUGAGCCCCUAAGGCCCAGACAAAAAAAUGUGACCUACAUGUAUUGUUACCAGGUAUUAUUUAAUAUUUAUAUAGUGCCUCAAAUGGAUCCAGCCCAACAUCAGAGUGUGCCAGAUAAAUAAAAGCCUGCGCCCUAAGGAGUUUAUCAUCUGCAAGCAAAGUCGAUCUGAAUCAGAACACCCACGGAGGAAUGAGUUGAGUGAGGGAUGAUUUGACCAAAAAACGCGUUGCAAGUGUAAAGUAGCACCAAGAGCAGGCGCCAGGCUCCAUCUGCUGUGAAAAGGAGCUUAUUCUUCGUGAAGAUGCCCAUUGCAUUACGGGGGCAGCUUGGAUCUUAUUCUAAGUGUCUCAAGCUUCUAUCAGCUCAUGGUCAAAACUACCAGCAAGUGUGAGCUGCGGGGUGUACAGCAAGUGUGAAGUGCAGCGAAGACUCACAGACCUCAGAGUCUGGUCCACUGGACCCAGGUCCACUGCUGGAUAAAAGGUGCAGCACCCACUGGCCACUUCCACGGUUUACAUCUUGCUUCAAGGCCUUGCGCCCGAUCAGCUGAGCACCUGUGCCAACCCUCAGGCAGAUCUUUCAUGGUACAGACAGCAAGGAUUGGAGACCUGAACAGUAAAGCCUCCACAUUAAUCUUCCAGGGCUGCAGCCAAACAACACGGCUUUGCCUGAAGUGGUUAGAAGCUGCUAAGACAAACACGAGAUCUUCUGAGCGCGCCAGCCCAUCCAUCUGCACCAGUAACUCUGUCUUCAUCCGCAGGCUUCCUUCAUGUUCUCCUCUACAGAGAGACAAGACGUGAUUCUCGUGCUCACUAAAGGCAGAAGAGAGAUCAAGAGCUUCUGCUAGACCAAACACCCAGUUGGAAGGAGAACCACGCCUGGAGUCUAGGCAUUCAUACUGCCCUCUGCAUUGCUCUUUCCACUCCCAGAGAAUAUACAGAAUCAUGGACAAGGUCUCCUUGUGUUGCCCAGGCUGCUU